GGAGUUUGGACCGUGUCUCAGUUCCAAUGUGGGGGACCUUCCUCUCAGAACCCCUACUGAUCGCAGGCUCGGUGGGCCGUUACCCCGCCGACAACCUAAUCAGACGCAUCCCCAUCCCAUAGCGAUGAAUCUUUGCUCCAACUUAGAUGUCUGCAUUGGAGAACAUAGGGAAUUAAUCCGACUUUCGCCGGGCUGUGCCCUACUACGGGGAAGGUUGGAUACGCGUUACUCACCCGUGCGCCGGUCGCCAUCUAUCAAAGCAAGCUUCGAUAAUGAUGCCCCUCGACUUGCAUGUGUUAAGCCUGUAGCUAGCGUUCAUC
rnacentral:rRNA from 1 species